GGGUGAGUAACGCGUAUCCAACCUGCCCACCACUUGGGGAUAACCUUGCGAAAGUAAGACUAAUACCCAAUGAUAUCUCUAGAAGACAUCUGAAAGAGAUUAAAGAUUUAUCGGUGAUGGAUGGGGAUGCGUCUGAUUAGCUUGUUGGCGGGGUAACGGCCCACCAAGGCAACGAUCAGUAGGGGUUCUGAGAGGAAGGUCCCCCACAUUGGAACUGAGACACGGUCCAAACUCCUACGGGAGGCAGCAGUGAGGAAUAUUGGUCAAUGGACGAGAGUCUGAACCAGCCAAGUAGCGUGCAGGAAGACGGCCCUAUGGGUUGUAAACUGCUUUUAUAAGGGAAUAAAGUUAGUCUCGUGAGACUUUUUGCAUGUACCUUAUGAAUAAGGACCGGCUAAUUCCGUGCCAGCAGCCGCGGUAAUACGGAAGGUCCGGGCGUUAUCCGGAUUUAUUGGGUUUAAAGGGAGCGUAGGCCGGAGAUUAAGCGUGUUGUGAAAUGUAGACGCUCAACGUCUGCACUGCAGCGCGAACUGGUUUCCUUGAGUACGCACAAAGUGGGCGGAAUUCGUGGUGUAGCGGUGAAAUGCUUAGAUAUCACGAAGAACUCCGAUUGCGAAGGCAGCUCACUGGAGCGCAACUGACGCUGAAGCUCGAAAGUGCGGGUAUCGAACAGGAUUAGAUACCCUGGUAGUCCGCACGGUAAACGAUGGAUGCCCGCUGUUGGCCUGAAUAGGUCAGCGGCCAAG
rnacentral:rRNA from 1 species